UACGAAGGGGGCUAGCGUUGCUCGGAAUCACUGGGCGUAAAGGGUGCGUAGGCGGGUCUUUAAGUCAGGGGUGAAAUCCUGGAGCUCAACUCCAGAACUGCCUUUGAUACUGAGGAUCUUGAGUCCGGGAGAGGUGAGUGGAACUGCGAGUGUAGAGGUGAAAUUCGUAGAUAUUGGGAGGAACACCAGUGGCGAAGGCGGCUCACUGGACCGGUUCUGACGCUGAUGCGCGAAAGCGUGGGGAGCAAACGGG
rnacentral:rRNA from 1 species